rnacentral:snoRNA from 1 species
AUCCUUUUGUAGUUCAUAAGCACAGGAGUUCACAUUGUUGUGUGACACGAGCCUCCCUCAGAACUUGUUCCAACCUCAGCAUCUCCCAUCUGAGG